UUUUGGAAAGAGGAACUCAUUAUGUGAUUGGCAUCGCUGAAGAGCAGUCAACGUUUUCGUGGAUAGUUAGAUAGCAAGUACCAGUGGGUGUUUUGAUAGUGGAGAAUAGAGCUGAAAAGUGGAACGAGAGACAGAUCAAAUUGAGACGAAAUACCUCUUUGAUUCUGUAUAGUUGUGAGAAGGAGAGGAGAUAAUUUUUUGGAGUUUGUGUUUUGUUGGAGAAUUGGUGCUGGUAUGUUGAUAGAUUUGAAGCUUGAGAACGGAGAGGGCUUUGAUGGGUAGCCUAACAUAGUCAACGAGGGAGAGCUGUUUUGGGUCAAGAGAAGACAUCAGAGUGAGUGAAGCAAAAGGUCAGUCAAUUUAUGUGAAAGAUAUUUUUAUGUUCGGAAACUAAAAUUUUGAGUAAAAGCAUAUGAAUUAAGAUUCCAAUAUUUCAAAAAGUAAAUAGGAAGUAUAGGUAGAUUUGCGAAUACCUAAAUUUGUUUGUUUAGCUUGUUUUAUCAAAGUCAUCGGGAACAAACCGAUAAAUUGUUAUUUUAACUAGAAUAAAUUUAAGUGGUAAAAAUUUCAUUCGGACAGCUGUGUCCACAGGUUUUAAAUUUGAUCGAUUUUUAGAGUAUUGAUUUUGAUAAUAAAAUUCUGUAUGCUUAUUUUA